AGAUGUGUGUUUGUUACCUGUACUACUUCUCGCCCAAACUACAGAACGGAUUGAGCCGAAACUUUGCGUGGAUAUAGUUCUAGACUUGCAGGAAUAACAUAUUAUAGGCUACUUUCCCCUGUCCGUAUUCAUACAACUAAAAGCGGGGCUCGCACAGAGUUAUUGGUAGUUUUGUUGAUUUAUGGGUCUCCUUGCUGAUAAUGAUAAAAUGAAAAAAUCAAACUAAUAGUGAAUAACGUAUUCCGUGUAACGGCCGCAACAGUAUGUUAUAAAUAAUUAGUUAUUUUUAAUUAUGUUAUUUUUUUCUUUUUUUGCAACGCCAGGCGGGACGGCUAGAAAAUAAUAUUCACCAAUAUAGUAUAAUAAUACAGUCUCAUGAAGGUACCCAUUGUAAUAUCUU